AACGAACGCUGGCGGCAGGCUUAACACAUGCAAGUCGAACGCCCGUAGCAAUACGGGAGUGGCGGACGGGUGAGUAACGCGUGGGAACGUACCCUGAGGUACGGAAUAACCGAGGGAAACUUCGGCUAAUACCGUAUGAGCCCCGCAAGGGGGAAAGAUUUAUCGCCUUGGGAGCGGCCCGCGUCGGAUUAGCUAGUUGGUGGGGUAACGGCCUACCAAGGCUUCGAUCCGUAGCUGGUCUGAGAGGACGAUCAGCCACACUGGGACUGAGACACGGCCCAGACUCCUACGGGAGGCAGCAGUGGGAAUCUUGCGCAAUGGGGGCAACCCUGACGCAGCCAUGCCGCGUGAACGAUGAAGGCCUUAGGGUUGUAAAGUUCUUUUACCCGUGACGAUGAUGACGGUAACGGGGAAUAAGCUCCGGCUAACUUCGUG
rnacentral:rRNA from 1 species